GACGAACGCUGCCGGCGUGCCUAAUACAUGCAAGUAGAACGCUGAAGGAGGAGCUUGCUUCUCUGGAUGAGUUGCGAACGGGUGAGUAACGCGUAGGUAACCUGCCUGGUAGCGGGGGAUAACUAUUGGAAACGAUAGCUAAUACCGCAUAAGAGUAGAUGUUGCAUGACAUUUGCUUAAAAGGUGCAAUUGCAUCACUACCAGAUGGACCUGCGUUGUAUUAGCUAGUUGGUGGGGUAACGGCUUACCAAGGCGACGAUACAUAGCCGACCUGAGAGGGUGAUCGGCCACACUGGGACUGAGACACGGCCCAGACUCCUACGGGAGGCAGCAGUAGGGAAUCUUCGGCAAUAGACGGAAGUCUGACCGAGCAACGCCGCGUGAGUGAAGAAGGUUUUCGGAUCGUAAAGCUCUGUUGUAAGAGAAGAACGAGUGUGAGAGUGGAAAGUUCACACUGUGACGGUAUCUUACCAGAAAGGGACGGCUAACUACGUG
rnacentral:rRNA from 1 species